UUUUCCCUGCAUAGUGCGUAAGGACUGAAAUUUUAGAACCAACAAAGAGGAGUAGGGAGCCGAUUCUCAUAAAUAUGGCGUGCAAGCUUACACUUUAUUUAGUAGUAAGAAGCCCUUGAAUAUUUAGGUAGGCACCCACCUGUGUAAGAGCAGGUCCUUAAAAUUUCUUUUGACUACGGCUAAAGCGGGGGUAUU
rnacentral:other from 1 species